GAUGAACGCUGGCGGCGUGCUUAACACAUGCAAGUCGAACGAAAAGACCUCAUUAGGUUGGUAUUCGAGUGGCGAACGGGUGAGUAACACGGGAGUAACCCGCACUUGACUUUGUGAUAACGUCAGGAAACUGGGGCUAAUACCUGAUAGGAGCUACGACCGCAGGGUGGAGGCUGGAAAGUUUCGGGGGUUGUGGAUGUACUCGCGGCUUAUCAGCAUGUUGGUGGUGUAGUGGCUUACCAAGGCUAUGGCGGGUAGCCGGACUGAGGGGGUGACAGGCCACAUUGAGACUGAGUUACGGCACAGACUCCUACUAGAGGCAGUAGUGGGGAAUAUUGCACAAUGGAUGGCAGCCUGAUGCAGCAGCGCGGUGUGCGGGAUAGCGGCCUUCUGGUUGAAAACCGGUAUCGCUCAUGUAGCCGCUUUGUGUGACGGUAGUCGGUAAAGAAGCACCGGCUAACUUCGUG
rnacentral:rRNA from 1 species